UCAAUCUUAACACAAUAAGUAAAAGCUGAGUCAACCAAAGCGCAAAUUUUGCAUUGUUUGAUUAAAGAAGUGCUAGAAGUACUGUACACUAGUUCUAAUGAUAGCUCCUGUCGAAGUUUUAUAUUUCCUGAAUCCCCAAUGUGCAAAAAAUUUAAAUCUACUAAUUGUUCAGUUAAAACACGAGGAAAACAUGGUGUCAACCACGUGCCAACGCACGCGUGUUAGCCGGCAUGUCAACGGCGUCUGACACGCCGGCUGAGAAAAAGAAGAGGAAAGAAAAAAAGAAGGAUACGCCAAGAAACCAAACUAAGUGUGUUGCCUAUAGCUUGAAAUUUAGCAUAGCGGAUAGAUUAUAAAGCUCCUUUUGAAAUGUUUAUGCCUAUUUGUUGCAAUGCCUUGAACUUAUAGAUAAGGCAUGAUUCUCUGUAUUUUCUUUCUCGUUCAGAACGGAAAUUUGUAAGAUGUAGAGUUGUCAUUUUCAGUUGUCAUUUCAUGCAGUUCUUGGCGUUGCUCACGAAAAAAAUUUUGAUGGCAGUCACUUUGUGCUGCUAUAAUUAGACGCCAUGUCACAGUGUCAACCUCAAAUUAAUAAAGCAAAUUAGCUUACAGUUUCUAUACAUACUGUGUUUGCAGGAGUUUGAUCUCUGUAUGAAAGCUGCAAAAUGUACUCAAACAAAGCAUAGUUUAAAAAUGUACAAGAAGCAACAUCAUUCUUGUCACUUUUUUAUAUCUUCUUUUUCUUCAAUUCCAUUAUGCUUCGCUCUAAAAUUUUGCCCUGAGAAAAACAAAUGCUUGAUCCUCAUCAGGAAGAGAAAAGAUGUCACUGAACCUCUUCUUCAUAACUACUGAGUUCCACAACAUGUCUACGAUUCAACUUUGUAACGCUAGUUCUGUGCAUUACACACCCUGAAAUGCAGACUGAACAUACAAGUGUCCAGGCUUUCAAGUCAUAGAAGGAAAAGGUGGAGAAAGACACACGCAGUCGCUUCAUUGCAAGGACAGGUACAGAGACUUGCGGCCACCUGAAAAAGAAGCAUUUCUACUUCGUCUGUCACCGGUCUGGAAGUUAUGCUUCACAAGCUACAAGUAAACAAAAGCUGAAGCGGCCUUCAAGUGUCAAGUGUGGAAAAAGAUGUUUUGCGGCAAUGGCUGUGACUGAAGACAACACAGGUGUGUAUGUGGUUUUCCAAUUCAAGCACAGAGGCCACGACUUUGAACUGGGUCGUGUUUUUCUGUCCAAGUCGGAAAGAGCUGCUAUUGCUGACAAGCUGCGAGAAGGCGUGUCCAUGGAUGCAGUACUGGAUAAUGUGCGGUCCAACGUGGAUGAGACAUUCCACCGCAUUAACCUGUUAAGCAAGCAGGAUCUCCGCAAAAUAAUGAGGGAUGCCAGAGUCUCGAAGACCGAGCGGCUGCACGAUAAUGACUAUGUGAGCAUGCAACUCUGGGUUGAGAGGAUGCAUAGUGAAAAGGAAAACCCAUUGCUCUUCAUUAAACACCAAGGACAACCCGACAAAAAGUGACAUUUUCUUAGAGAAAAAAAAUGAGGACCUUUUGGAUGACAGAGAUCUUAUGCUAGUCAUCAUGACCACACCACAACAGGAGCUUUUCAAGAGGCUUGAAACUGAUCGUAUAUGUGUCGAUGGAACACAUGGAACAGCAGGUGAGCAGUACUAUAUAAAUGCAUUAAUAAUAAAAGCAAGAAAGAGGGAAUGCUGUCCGAGAAUAAUUGCAAUAGAUAUGAUGAGUAGUAUUCCUUCACACGAUAUUUCUCUUAAUUUUUCAUUUGAUGGAGUUCUCAAUUAUCAGUAACAGAGCAAGAAUGAAUUUAGCGCUCUGUACACUGGUGAUAUCAUUCCAUUGCUACUGAUCUCAUCGCUACAUGCCCUGCAUAUCCUGUCUGUAUUGUCAC